rnacentral:lncRNA from 1 species
GUCCCCGGCGUCCGGGCGCCCUGCAUGGAUCCCCCACCCCAGCUCCUGCUCCCCGGCGGCGGCCGGUGGGCAGAAAGACCGAAACCCACUCACGGCCGCCUGCCGAAUCGCGGCUCUGCUGUUUGUGGGGCGUGCUAGAAACGUGGUCCUAAAAAGAAUGGCGUCCAUUUACAUAAUGCUUUGUUUGCGUUUCGCAAGUUUCUUUCGGUUAAAGCCACAGAAACCCCACCUCCUGCCCUUGUGUCGUUUCCACCGCGGCACCCUUUUCCGACAUUAGAAACAAUAGUGUACGCCUGUGGAGGCCUCGUUUGUUCAGGGGCUGCCGGCCAGGGCUUCAGGACGUUUCUGCGGCUUUCCCCGCGCGGCCUGGGCUCCCGCGGCUGCUUUUCGGGCCCAUGGGCGCAGCCACUGCGCCAGGCUCAAGGGGGGCGGCCCCGUCAGGGCCCGCCAUCUUGGAAGGCCUUUUUUGCCGGUUCUUCCCGCUGAGGAAGUGUCGCUCAAGACGCUGGCCUAUGAGUUGUGAUUUCUGCCUUUUCCCCUUCCUCCUUGGGCUAAGCCAGACCAGAAAGGGCCCCGUGCGCAACGUGCUUCACAAUCUCUCAGGGAAAGCGGCUAACGUGGCGCUACUCCGCCUCCCCUGUUCCUUACCCUUGGGGCGGCCGCCAUGUUUCCUGAACACAAAAUGGCGACACGUGGUUAGCAUUCGUCGCCAACGAGAAAUUGGGGUCGGCCCGAAAGCUCUAGAAUGCACCCCUCUUCCUCCCCGGGGCCUUCCACCUCCGCGAGUUUUAUGACUUAAAAAAGCCCACAGGCUGGUCUGAAGGUCGGAGGCCUAAUUUUAACGCGUUUUCCUCCCUUUAAUUUGAAACGGGAACGCGAAUGACUGUAAAAUGUGGGCACAAUAUUUAAUCUCUCGCCUUUUUAAAGCUUAAUAGUGGAUAAUAGGGGGGCAGUAUCAAGGGAUAAUUUGGGUCCCCACAGUACCAAAGCAUUUAGAAACCUCUGUUUAAUUUAAGGAAUGAGAUAAGUUACUGCUUUUCUAGACUUCCUAGCAUGGGCUGUUGUGCUGGAGAGAACGAGAGCUACGAAGAGACUACAGUGCCUCUGACUUUUUCAUAGGACAGUUGGCCGAGGAAGACAAACAUAAAGAUGAAGUGCUUAAUUCAAGGUCACACAAUGUCGGGGAUGGACCUCCAGAUUUCCUUACUGGAAAACAAGCUCAGGGCUCCCACUGAUUGUACAUUAUGGUGAGACGUGGUCUUGUAACACAGUGGUUAAGAAUGUGACUUUGGAGCCAGCCUGCUAGGGGCUGAAUUCUGACUCAGCCAUUUACUAACUGUGUGACCUUAGGCUGGAGUGCAAUGGCAUGAUCUCGGCUCAUCACAACCUCUGCUUCCUGGGUUCAAGCGAUUCUCCUGCCUCAGCCUCCCGAGUACCUGGGACUACAGGCACUCGCCACCAUGCCCGGCUGAUUUUUGUAUUUUUAAUAGAGAUGGUUUCACUAUGUUGGCCAGGCUGGUCUCGAACUCCUGACCUUGUGAUCUGCCCACCUCAGCCUCGAAAAGUGCUGGGAUUACAGGCGUGAGCCACUGCGCCCAGCCUUGUAUUUUUUUUCAGUUUGGGUAGCUGUCCCUAAUUCAUUUGUUAAAGGAGAAGCAAGAGCAAGAACCUUUAAUCUGUUCUCCUCUUCCCUAAUUUGAAAGUAGCUUGUUAUUUUGAAUAUCACUUUCUCUGAAAUAGCACAUCUCCAUCUCAGAGAAUGGAUUUAAUGUUUGGAUACAGCCAAAAGUCAUUUCAUUACCAAACCAUGGGGUGAAUAUACCAUGUAAAGCAGUUUGGGAUCAGAACUCACAGUCUGAAUUGUAAGUGAUGAGACUGCUGUCUCUCUGCUACAGCUUCUUGGCUGGCUCUGAAGGCUCUUUGAAGGCAGAUCCUAACAAGGGGACUGCUUUGAAGGGCCAUUGUUCAUUUGGAAUGAUAAAGUCUAUGUUGUUCAAAAAACAAAUGCUUGUAGCAGGUAUUUUUUCACUCCAGACUGAGAAUAUUGGUGGGAUAUUGAUAAGGGGUACUGAAUGGUAAUAAACAUGUGCUCUAGCUCUGUGCUAGUCAGCUUAUUUCAGAACUCUAGUUUGAUUCAGUUUCUUGCCUCUGACUCAAAAUGGAGGGAGAGUGAUUUUUACAUAAGAGAACACACCCACAUAUCCUUUUGGCAGCAGCUACCUGCCAGAGAUGUUGAAGAAGAGUAGCCAACCUUUACACAGCAGAUAUUGUGUGCCAGUCAUAGUCCUAAGUAUAAUACCUUACAUGUAUAAACUUCUUAUAAGGUUGGUGCUCUGUACCGAAUUGAAUAGUAUCCCCCAAAAUUCAUGUUGUCCCAGAACCUAUGAAAGUGAUCUUACUUGAGGGAGGGGGGAGGGGGGAGGGAUAGCAUUAGGAGAUAUACCUAAUGCUAAAUGACGAGUUAAUGGGUGUAGCACACCAGCAUGGCACAUGUAUACAUAUGUAACUAACCUGCACAUUGUGCACAUGUACCCUAAAACUUAAAGUAUAAUAAUAAUAAAAUAAAAAAAAAAAAGAAAGUGAUCUUACUUGGAAAUAAGGUCUUUGCACAUAUGAUCAAGUUGAGAUGAAGUUGUACUGGAAAGUCUGUCUAGUGACUGGUGUUGUCAUAAGAAGAGAGGGACACAGAGGGAAGAUGGCCACAUGAAGAUGGAGGCAGAGAUUGCAGUUAUGCUGCUGCAAACUAAGGAAUGGCUCUGGCCCUCCAAGGAUUGCUGAUAACCACCAGAAACUAGAAGAGACAAGGAAGGAUUCUUCCCUAGAGCCUUCAGAGGGAGCAUGGCCCUACUGACACCUGGAUUUCAAACUUGUAGCUUCCUAAACUGCAAGAGAAUAAAUUUCUGUUGUUUUAAGCCA